rnacentral:rRNA from 1 species
GAUGAACGCUGGCGGUAUGCUUAACACAUGCAAGUCGUACGAGAGUUUUUAACUCUAGUGGCGGACGGGUGAGUAACACGUGAGAAUCUACCCUAAGGAGGGGAAUAACAGCUGGAAACGGUUGCUAAUACCCCAUACGCCGAAAGGUGAAAGGAUGUAUCCACCUUAGGAAGAGCUCGCGCCUGAUUAGCUAGUUGGUGAGGUAACGGCUCACCAAGGCCAUGAUCAGUAGCUGGUUUGAGAGGACGAUCAGCCACACUGGGACUGAGACACGGCCCAGACUCCUACGGGAGGCAGCAGUGGGGAAUUUUCCGCAAUGGGCGAAAGCCUGACGGAGCAAUACCGCGUGAGGGAUGAAGGCCUUCGGGUUGUAACCUCUUUUAGCAGGGAAGAAGCGAAAGUGACGGUACCUGCAGAAAAGCACCGGCUAACUACGUG